rnacentral:rRNA from 1 species
UACGAAGGGGGCUAGCGUUGCUCGGAAUCACUGGGCGUAAAGCGCACGUAGGCGGAUUGUUAAGUCAGGGGUGAAAUCCUGGAGCUCAACUCCAGAACUGCCUUUGAUACUGGCGAUCUUGAGUCCGGAAGAGGUGAGUGGAACUCCGAGUGUAGAGGUGAAAUUCGUAGAUAUUCGGAAGAACACCAGUGGCGAAGGCGGUCGACUGGGCCAGAACUGACGCUGAGGCGCGACAGCGUGGGGAGCAAACAGG